UAUACUUGUACACUAUGCCUUGUAGAUGGUACGCACGCAAUGUGUUCGAUGAAAUGCCUAAGUGAGUUUAGUUAUGGUUUUUACAUGAAUACUUGUUAAGUCGAUGUAACUUCUUUAUGAUAAUGGCGUAAGUGAUUAGUAGACACCAUAAUGAACUAUAAGGAAUGUGAAAGUAAUGUUUUUGAAAGCUAAAGUAUGGGAUUAUGACAUAUAGGCACAAAGAAGGAAGAACGCGCAGGUCACUCGAAGGCAUAAGUAUCUCAAGAUCGCGGUAAAUCCUCAACUUAGGCGACUCGGCGAAAUGGAGCGAGCACGCGAUCAAAAUAUGUCUUACCAAGCGCUUCCGCUAGCUUAUGCUAAUGUUUUGGGUCAAAAUACUUUUUGUACAAAUUGUUGGUAAAACGCUUUUAAGUACUUGAUGUUUUAGUUUUAGUAGUAUCUUGUAGAAUGAUAUUGUUUUGAUUGUGGUUAAAACAGGGGCAUACUCGUUUUACGAACGGGUCAUGCCCAAUUUUUGUAAAAAUUUUAAUUAUGUAUUCAAGUUGGUAUUUUUGAUGUCUAUUAAA